rnacentral:rRNA from 1 species
UGGGGGAAUAUUGCACAAUGGGCGCAAGCCUGAUGCAGCAACGCCGCGUGAGGGAUGACGGCCUUCGGGUUGUAAACCUCUUUUAGCAGGGAAGAAGCGAAAGUGACGGUACCUGCAGAAAAAGCACCGGCUAACUACGUGCCAGCAGCCGCGGUAAUACGUAGGGUGCAAGCGUUGUCCGGAAUUAUUGGGGCGUAAAGAGCUCGUAGGCGGUCUGUCGCGUCUGCUGUGAAAUCCCGAGGCUCAACCUCGGGCCUGCAGUGGGUACGGGCAGACUAGAGUGCGGUAGGGGAGAAUGGAACUCCUGGUGUAGCGGUGGAAUGCGCAGAUAUCAGGAAGAACACCGAUGGCGAAGGCAGUUCUCUGGGCCGUAACUGACGCUGAGGAGCGAAAGCGUGGGGAGCGAACAGGAUUAGAUACCCUGGUAGUCCACGCCGUAAACGUUGGGCGCUAGAUGUGGGGACCAUUCCACGGUUUCCGUGUCGCAGCUAACGCAUUAAGCGCCCGCCUGGGGAGUACGGCCGCAA